rnacentral:rRNA from 1 species
AUUGAACGCUGGCGGCAGGCCUAACACAUGCAAGUCGAACGAGUAGCGGACGGGUGAGUAAUGUCUGGGAAACUGCCCGCUGGAGGGGGAUAACUACUGGAAACGGUAGCUAAUACCGCAUACCAUCGGAUGUGCCCAGAUGGGAUUAGCGAGUAGGUGGGGUAACGGCUCACCUAGGCGACGAUCCCUAGCUGGUCUGAGAGGAUGACCAGCAAGACUGGGACUGAUACACGGUCCAGACUCCUACGGGAGGCAGCAGUGGGGAAUAUUGAACAAUGGGCGAGAGCCUGAUGCAGCCAUGCCGCGUGUAUGAAGAAGGCCUUUGGGUUGUAAAGUACUUUCAGGGAGGAUGCGGUACUCGCAGAAGAAGCACCGGCUAACUCCGUGCCAGCAGCCGCGGUAAUUC